CCCAGAGAGCUCCGUCAGUAGAGCAUCAGACUUUUAAUCUGAAGGUCCAGGGUUCAAGUCCUUGUUCAGGGG
rnacentral:tRNA from 1 species